rnacentral:lncRNA from 1 species
GACAAAGCAAGAACAGCAAGAGCCAAGAGGUUAGGGAAGACAUGACGUUAGCAUUCAGAGAUACUGGGACUUUGUAUAUUCAGUGAGUUAGUGUUAAUGUUAACCGGUAAUGUCUUCACAGUGCAAGCAUCUUCAAAUUGACUCAAACUAGUAUAGUAAAGGGUGUGCAGAACCCAAAACUAGUAUCCAGGCAACAUUGACUCAAAAACUGAGGACAGGAAAAUAGUUAGUUGCUUGAUGUGCAAUUCCUUCAUGACGGACGAGUGUAAAUUGGAUAACUUACUAUUUCAAAUUUCAUCUUUUUGCCCUCCACUGAUUCUAUGGCUCUCUCUCAGAACAACAUGAUACAUAGCUUUAACGAUUCAUCCAUUUUCUUAUGAUGAUCUCAAAUUCCCCGUAACAUCUUC